GGGUUGUGAGGUUAAGCGACUAAGCGUACACGGUGGAUGCCCUGGCAGUCAGAGGCGAUGAAGGGCGUACUAAUCUGCGAUAAGCGCCGGUAAGGUAAUAUGAACCGUUAUAACCGGCGAUACCCGAAUGGGGAAACCCAGUGUGAUUCGUCACACUAUCAUUAACUGAAUCCAUAGGUUAAUGAGGCGAACCGGGGGAACUGAAACAUCUAAGUACCCCGAGGAAAAGAAAUCAACCGAGAUUCCCCCAGUAGCGGCGAGCGAACGGGGAGGAGCCCAGAGCCUGAAUCAGCAUGUGUGUUAGUGGAAGCGUCUGGAAAGGCGCGCGAUACAGGGUGACAGCCCCGUACACAAAAGCGCAUGUGCUGUGAGCUCGAUGAGUAGGGCGGGACACGUGGUAUCCUGUCUGAAUAUGGGGGGACCAUCCUCCAAGGCUAAAUACUCCUGACUGACCGAUAGUGAACCAGUACCGUGAGGGAAAGGCGAAAAGAACCCCGGCGAGGGGAGUGAAAAAGAACCUGAAACCGUGUACGUACAAGCAGUGGGAGCACCCUUUGGGUGUGACUGCGUACCUUUUGUAUAAUGGGUCAGCGACUUAUAUUCUGUAGCAAGGUUAACCGAAUAGGGGAGCCGGAGGGAAACCGAGUCUUAAUUGGGCGUUAAGUUGCAGGGUAUAGACCCGAAACCCGGUGAUCUAGCCAUGGGCAGGUUGAAGGUUGGGUAACACUAACUGGAGGACCGAACCGACUAAUGUUGAAAAAUUAGCGGAUGACCUGUGGCUGGGGGUGAAAGGCCAAUCAAACCGGGAGAUAGCUGGUUCUCCCCGAAAGCUAUUUAGGUAGCGCCUCGUGAAUUCAUCUCCGGGGGUAGAGCACUGUUUCGGCUAGGGGGCCAUCCCGGCUUACCAACCCGAUGCAAACUGCGAAUACCGGAGAAUGUUAUCACGGGAGACACACGGCGGGUGCUAACGUCCGUCGUGAAGAGGGAAACAACCCAGACCGCCAGCUAAGGUCCCAAAGUCAUGGUUAAGUGGGAAACGAUGUGGGAAGGCCCAGACAGCCAGGAUGUUGGCUUAGAAGCAGCCAUCAUUUAAAGAAAGCGUAAUAGCUCACUGGUCGAGUCGGCCUGCGCGGAAGAUGUAACGGGGCUAAACCAUGCACCGAAGCUGCGGCAGCGACACUGUGUGUUGUUGGGUAGGGGAGCGUUCUGUAAGCCUGUGAAGGUGUGUCGUGAGGCAUGCUGGAGGUAUCAGAAGUGCGAAUGCUGACAUAAGUAACGAUAAAGCGGGUGAAAAGCCCGCUCGCCGGAAGACCAAGGGUUCCUGUCCAACGUUAAUCGGGGCAGGGUGAGUCGACCCCUAAGGCGAGGCCGAAAGGCGUAGUCGAUGGGAAACGGGUUAAUAUUCCCGUACUUGGUGUUACUGCGAAGGGGGGACGGAGAAGGCUAUGUUGGCCGGGCGACGGUUGUCCCGGUUUAAGCGUGUAGGUGUGUGUUCCAGGUAAAUCCGGUUCACUUUAACACUGAGGCGUGACGACGAGGCACUACGGUGCUGAAGCAACAAAUGCCCUGCUUCCAGGAAAAGCCUCUAAGCAUCAGGUAACAUCAAAUCGUACCCCAAACCGACACAGGUGGUCAGGUAGAGAAUACCAAGGCGCUUGAGAGAACUCGGGUGAAGGAACUAGGCAAAAUGGUGCCGUAACUUCGGGAGAAGGCACGCUGACACGUAGGUGAAGUGAUUUACUCAUGGAGCUGAAGUCAGUCGAAGAUACCAGCUGGCUGCAACUGUUUAUUAAAAACACAGCACUGUGCAAACACGAAAGUGGACGUAUACGGUGUGACGCCUGCCCGGUGCCGGAAGGUUAAUUGAUGGGGUCAGCGCAAGCGAAGCUCCUGAUCGAAGCCCCGGUAAACGGCGGCCGUAACUAUAACGGUCCUAAGGUAGCGAAAUUCCUUGUCGGGUAAGUUCCGACCUGCACGAAUGGCGUAAUGAUGGCCAGGCUGUCUCCACCCGAGACUCAGUGAAAUUGAACUCGCUGUGAAGAUGCAGUGUACCCGCGGCAAGACGGAAAGACCCCGUGAACCUUUACUAUAGCUUGACACUGAACAUUGAGCCUUGAUGUGUAGGAUAGGUGGGAGGCUUUGAAGUGUGGACGCCAGUCUGCAUGGAGCCGACCUUGAAAUACCACCCUUUAAUGUUUGAUGUUCUAACGUGGACCCGUUACCCGGGUUGCGGACAGUGUCUGGUGGGUAGUUUGACUGGGGCGGUCUCCUCCUAAAGAGUAACGGAGGAGCACGAAGGUUGGCUAAUCCUGGUCGGACAUCAGGAGGUUAGUGCAAUGGCAUAAGCCAGCUUGACUGCGAGCGUGACGGCGCGAGCAGGUGCGAAAGCAGGUCAUAGUGAUCCGGUGGUUCUGAAUGGAAGGGCCAUCGCUCAACGGAUAAAAGGUACUCCGGGGAUAACAGGCUGAUACCGCCCAAGAGUUCAUAUCGACGGCGGUGUUUGGCACCUCGAUGUCGGCUCAUCACAUCCUGGGGCUGAAGUAGGUCCCAAGGGUAUGGCUGUUCGCCAUUUAAAGUGGUACGCGAGCUGGGUUUAGAACGUCGUGAGACAGUUCGGUCCCUAUCUGCCGUGGGCGCUGGAGAACUGAGGGGGGCUGCUCCUAGUACGAGAGGACCGGAGUGGACGCAUCACUGGUGUUCGGGUUGUCAUGCCAAUGGCACUGCCCGGUAGCUAAAUGCGGAAGAGAUAAGUGCUGAAAGCAUCUAAGCACGAAACUUGCCCCGAG
rnacentral:rRNA from 1 species